rnacentral:rRNA from 1 species
UACAGAGGGGGCAAGCGUUAUUCGGAAUUAUUGGGCGUAAAGGGCGCGUAGGCGGCUUCGCAAGUGGAAGGUGAAAAUCCCUCGGCUUAACCGAGGAACUGCCCUCCAACUGCGUUGCUUUGAGGCCGGGAGAGGUGAGUGGAAUUCCCAGUGUAGCGGUGAAAUGCGUAGAUAUUGGGAGGAACACCAGUGGCGAAGGCGGCUCACUGGACCGGUUCUGACGCUGAGGCGCGAAAGCGUGGGGAGCAAACGGG